rnacentral:tRNA from 1 species
GAGGGUAUAGCUCAAGUGGUAGAGCGCAUGCUUACCAUGCGCAAGGUCCUGGGUUCAAUCCCCAGUACCUCCU